CAGCCGCCACGGUAAUACAGAGGGUGCGAGCGUUAAUCGGAUUUACUGGGCGUAAAGCGUGCGUAGGCGGCUUCUUAAGUCGGAUGUGAAAUCCCUGAGCUUAACUUAGGAAUUGCAUUCGAUACUGGGAAGCUAGAGUAUGGGAGAGGAUGGUAGAAUUCCAGGUGUAGCGGUGAAAUGCGUAGAGAUCUGGAGGAAUACCGAUGGCGAAGGCAGCCAUCUGGCCUAAUACUGACGCUGAGGUACGAAAGCAUGGGGAGCAAACAGGAUUAGAUACCCGCGUAGUCCCUGUCUCUUAUAC
rnacentral:rRNA from 1 species